CGGAUGGCUAGACGCCAUACUCCCGCGCGGCGGAUGCUAGACGCCAUACUUCCCCGGCGCGGCGGAUGCUAGACGCCAUACUUCCCCCGCGCGCGGCGGAUGCUAG